UACGUAGGGGGCAAGCGUUGUCCGGAUUUAUUGGGCGUAAAGAGCUCGUAGGCGGUUUCGUAAGUCGAGUGUGAAAAAUCUGGGCUCAACCCCAGUGGAGCACUCGAUACUGCGAUGACUAGAGUACGGUAGAGGAGUGUGGAAUUCCUGGUGUAGCGGUGAAAUGCGCAGAUAUCAGGAGGAACACCGGUGGCGAAGGCGGGUCUCUGGGCAUGUCCUGACGCUGAGGAGCGAAAGUGUGGGGAGCGAACAGG
rnacentral:rRNA from 1 species